GUUUUGAAUGUAAUUUUGACUGUGGAGAAAAAUGAUACCUUCUUCUGAAGUGCAGAUUUGCCUCUUCUGCUCCUUGAUUAGUUGAAGAGCUCUUGUGCAGGAAGGCCAGGAGCCUCCUGAAGGUGUGUCUUCUUUCACUGUCCCUCCUACUCAUCCAUAUAUUCCAGCCCUCUGCAAAACCUCAUCAGAGUUAAUACAGAGGAUUGCCUGGGCUUAAAGAAAGUCUAUAUUCUUGUUUCAGAAUAGACCGGUUUUAGUAGCUCCUAUCUGAAAUACAGGAUUCACUGCCUUCAUGUAUCUUCAGUAACCACCAAGGAAAUGCAAUUGCUACUGAACCUCCAUUGAACCUCUGACAGUUUUAGGAAUAUACUUUAAAUAUUAAUGGUGUAAUGAUAAGCUUUCUCCUCAUUUGCCUUGGCAAGCGUGGAAUCACUUUUCCUGCCUGGGAGCCAAAAGAUAAAAUGAAAAUAAACAAGCAGAAAAUGAAUGGUAGCUACUGUGACUUGGUUAUGACAUUUGCUAAGCUACUACAAUAUAAAGUUACAAAUAAUGUGAUGGAAGCAAUGUGUCUGUGA
rnacentral:lncRNA from 1 species